GUUUCACUCCACACCUCUGCGUUGGUUGCUGAACUUCCCCCUCGAGUUUCUCUUCCCACACACACCGCUUUAUUUCAGAGGCAGCCAUGGAGACGGUUUCGCUGCAAGAAGAAGAAGAAGAAGAAGACGUCACGUGGAAAUGCUGAGCUGACUUCCCCUUGGGAUGGCCAUGGCGGCAAUGGUGCUGCAGGUAAAAGGCAGGAGUCGUACUGCGAGCCCAGGCCUGGCCAAGACCGUGCCUUUGGGCUGCAAAUGGUGAAAGGAAAACACCAGCUGGAACCCACACUCAGAUGUCGGGUUCCUUCUUUGCACAACAAGGAAAAAAACACUUCUACAAUUGCUCAUCAUGUGGCCUUUGGCUGAGAUGAAUUACCAAUUUACAACCUCUUGUGUUUGGAGAGAAGCAAACUGUGCUCUUCUGAGGCAAGAAUCAGGAACCUAAAAAUCAUUCAAGCCUUCUUGUUUAUAAGGCCAGAGUGAGGCCAAAAAUCCAUUUCCUUCUGUGCUCUAAGCCCUUUCAAUGACGAGUUUCUCACCAUCUGCACUAAUAAAUAUGGACUGGUGUGUGUAUAACCAUGCACGGAGGAGAAA